rnacentral:rRNA from 1 species
CCCUGGUUGAUCCUGCCAGUAGUCAUAUGCUUGUCUCAAAGAUUAAGCCAUGCAUGUCUCAGUACAUACCGAAUUAAGGUGAAACCGCGAAAGGCUCAUUAUAUCAGUUAUGGUUCAUUAGAUCGUACCCACAUUUACUUGGAUAACUGUGGUAAUUCUAGAGCUAAUACAUGCAAACAGAACUCCGACCGGAGACGGAAGGAGCGCUUUUAUUAGAUCAAAACCAAUAGGCGGCGGCGGCCGGCGUUUUGCGACGUCGCGUCGUCGUCGUUACAUAAAUCGCACGACGAAUCUGAAUAACUUUAUGCCGAUCGCACGGUCACGCACCGGCGACGGAUCUUUCAAAUGUCUGCCUUAUCAACUUUCGAUGGUAGGUUAUGCGCCUACCAUGGUUGUAACGGGUAACGGGGAAUCAGGGUUCGAUUCCGGAGAGGGAGCCUGAGAAACGGCUACCACAUCCAAGGAAGGCAGCAGGCGCGCAAAUUACCCACUCCCGGCACGGGGAGGUAGUGACGAAAAAUAACGAUACGGGACUCAUCCGAGGCCCCGUGAUCGGAAUGAGCACACUUUAAAUCCUUUAACUAGGAUCAAUUGGAGGGCAAGUCUGGUGCCAGCAGCCGCGGUAAUUCCAGCUCCAAUAGCGUAUAUUAAAGUUGCUGCGGUUAAAAAGCUCGUAGUCGAAAUUGUGUCCCGGUCCGCCGGUUCGUCGCUCGCGACGCCAACUGGCGCGCACUCGGGACGUCCAGCCGGUACCACGAACCCGCCGACGGUGCUCUUAACCGAGUGUCCAGGCGGGGGCCGGCAAUGUUACUUUGAACAAAUUAAAGUGCUUAAAGCAGGCUAAACUGCGCUCGUAUAAUACGUGCAUGGAAUAAUCGAAUAGGACCUCUGUUCUAUUUUGUUGGUUUUUGUGGAACGCACAGAGGUAAUGAUCAAUGGGUGCGGAUGGGGGCAUUCGUAUUGCGACGUUAGAGGUGAAAUUCUUGGAUCGUCGCAAGACGCACUAAAGCGAAAGCAUUUGCCAAAAACGCUUUCAUCGAUCAAGAACGAAAGUUAGAGGUUCGAAGGCGAUCAGAUACCGCCCUAGUUCUAACCAUAAACUAUGCCAGCUAGCGAUCCGCCGCAGUUACUACUACGACUCGGCGGGCAGCUUUCGGGAAACCAAAGCUUUUGGGUUCCGGGGGAAGUAUGGUUGCAAAGCUGAAACUUAAAGGAAUUGACGGAAGGGCACCACCAGGAGUGGAGCCUGCGGCUUAAUUUGACUCAACACGGGAAACCUCACCAGGCCCGGACACCGAAAGGAUUGACAGAUUGAGAGCUCUUUCUUGAUUCGGUGGGUGGUGGUGCAUGGCCGUUCUUAGUUGGUGGAGCGAUUUGUCUGGUUAAUUCCGAUAACGAACGAGACUCUGUCCUGCUAAAUAGCCGACUAAACGCGACGCACGUCGUCGCGUUACAGACAUCUCGAAGGCCCGCUGACCUCGCGGCCUUCGUCUAACGUUUUCGUCGCCGCCGACGUCUGAACGAUUACUCCUCGCGGGGUAGUCGCGUCGUCGGAGCGGCACGAGACGGACGGAUGGCUCGCGAGCGCGUGGUUCUUACACUGUCUGCGGACAAACUAAUCUUCUUAGAGGGACAAGCGGCUUGAAGCCGCGCUAUAAAGAGCAAUAACAGGUCUGUGAUGCCCUUAGAUGUCCUGGGCCGCACGCGCGCUACACUGAAGGAAUCAGCGUGUGCGUACCAGCCCUCGGCCGAGAGGCCCGGGUAACCCGCUGAAACUCCUUCGUGCUAGGGAUUGGGGCUUGAAAUUCUUCCCCAUGAACGAGGAAUUCCCAGUAAGCGCGAGUCAUAAGCUCGCGUUGAUUACGUCCCUGCCCUUUGUACACACCGCCCGUCGCUACUACCGAUCGAACGAUUUAGCGAGGUCUUCGGACUGGCGCCCGGCGACUUAACGUCGACGGUCCGCUCCGGAAAGUUGACCGAACUUGAUCGUUUAGAGGAAGUAAAAGUCGUAACAAGGUUUCCGUAGGUGAACCUGCGGAAGGAUCAUUA